ensembl:lncRNA
AAAAAAAAAAAAAAAAAACCCAACAAAAAAAAACUUGGGCAACUUGACACAUCAUUGAGGGAGGAUGAGAACUCCAACUCCCAAACACUGCUAAGUUCUAGUAACUACCAUGAAAUUCUGUGGUUGGAAGGAGGAGAGAAAACGUGUUUGUUCUUCCAGGUAACCUGGCUCCCAUUUGGUCAAAUUCAGCCUUCCUUUUGCUUGGCAGCACCUGGAUGCAUGAUGAAUGCUCCCGGCCACGUACUGGCCAGCAAAUCAGUAACCCCAUAGCUCAGGGCUGGCUUCAGGCUGUGUUCUCUCUUGCCAAAAGGGAUUACCAGGUAGGGAUGUCAGAGAUGAAUAGAGUCAAUGCAGUAAUAACAUAUAGAGGUUAUUUCUGAGACAAAAAAAAUAUGCUCUCAGAUCAGGCUCUGUUAGCUACUCACAGAACACCUUGUUUUUUAAAUAUAUCUAAGGCGGUUUUUUCAUUUUUUUCUAGACAUGGAGUCUCAUGUUUAUGAACUAUAAUCCUUGGAUGAUUUAUCACUUUCUGUACAUAGUGGUAGUCAAUCUUCAUGCUGUGGUUCCUUCAAUGAAGGCAUUUAAUUGGAACAGGAUCUGAGAGUUCAAGAACACAGUGCUUUGGUAGUUCUGCAGUCCUGGAUGUGUAAGGUAUUUAAAAAUCAAUUCCAGAAACCAAAGCAGUUCUAUCCAACGUACAUCAAGGGCUAGAUUCCAGCCACACAUUCAGUAUAAAUAAUGUAAAGCCAUCAGUCACAUUUUAUAGUAAGCAAAGUAAAAUUGAAGAAGUAAAGACAAGCUAAUAAAAUAAUUAAUAUUAGUGGAAAAUAACCGGUGUACAGUAACAAAUACGUUUCUGUAGACAUAACACUUAACUCUAAAAAAAUAUAUACAUACAUAUAUGAUGGCUACAAAUGAGCUUGUGAUUUUCUUCCAAAAGUAUUUGAGCAGGAAGUAAAACAUUUUCCCGGUGGAUGAAAUAACAUUCAUUUUUGCCAAUCUAAGCAAGGCAGAUUUAAAUUUUAUGUGUGUCCAACUGCUUGUUCCCCCUCAGCUAAUAACCUGCCUGCUGGAAAUGUUUCAAAUGAAAAGGAGUUCACAGUUCCUAAGCCCAGCUCUGAAUAUAUCUGUUAUGCAUGUAAACAAGUAAACCAUUAUGUUUCUUGUUGAGAUAAAGAAUACCAUGAUAAGUGGGGACUUUCACAAAACAAAGGGCUUCCUAUUGCGAGUGUGGAUAAUCUUCCAGAAAACCCUGUGUUUUGGCAAAUCACACCAGAUUAAUCUAUUAGGCAUCUCCUUUCAUCAUCAAAUUUCCGCUGCCUAUCACAGUGGCUGCCUUAUCAAGCCCCCUGCUUUCAAUAGCGGGACCAUUCCUAGGAUUUCAGGUGCUGGCCUUCCCUGCCCAGAAAACAGGUGUCCCCACUGUUUUCGGGCAGGAAAGGUCCCUGCACAGAAGCCUGGGAAAGGGCAGGGGUAUCAGCCGCUGUUCUACCUGAAGGAACAGGUAACAGGAAACUGUUGAUUCAAUGGGCUGAACUUAAUUGGCAGGCAUUAGCCAGCAGCGAGUGGCUUUUUUGAAUUGCAAAUCCUAAAACUUUGUCGGGAGGAAUGCUCGUAAGAAUGGGCACAGAUCUGUGUCCAGAGGCAUCCUCUCAGAAGUUACCAGCUCUUGUAGCUAUUUUGAAUGUGUUUGCCAGCGUUCGUGGGCUCGGGGUUGAGGAUGGCAUGUCAAGCUUCACAUGGUUACAUGUAUGGCCCGAGCUGUCAACAAAUUGCCUGUAUUCAGGAGGAAAUGGAUUUCCAAUCUAAACUAAAGGCUAAUAUUCCAAACCAAUUAGUACGAUGGAUCGAAUUUUCAAGCUCUCAUUGCCUCCCCUGGCUGGGGCUUUUUUUCUCUAGUUAAUGAAACUGGGCAUACGGUUUCUGACCAGACUAUUCACCUACAAACCAGGGUCAGCCAUUUGGUCACCCAGAAAUGACACAAUAUGGAGUGGAGGUGAAACCGUGGACAUGGAGGAAGUCAUUUUAACAUCAACAGAGAAAUCUGUUUCACAAGAGCAAGUAAGUCUCUGCUUUGUCUCCCAGUGCCCCUCUCCUCCUGCUAAGACUGCACCCAGUGCUUCUCAGGGCGGGUGCCUCCAGGCCUGUCUGAAACCUGCAGCACAAGGCCUUCCCUCCACACUCUGAGCUCGGCUCCCAAAGCACCGCUUGUGCACACCCUGAUGUAAGAAAACAAAAGCACUCAGGAGGAGCAGCAGCAGCCCUCUGCUCUGCUCUCUGCUCUGACAGCAGGGACACUCUGAAGCACAGGGACAUGGGGAUGAGCCUGAACCCGUGCCCACUCACGGGCAGGAAGCAUCUGAUAAGUGCAUUCCUCCACAUCCGGUGCUCACAGCGUGGCCUUUGUGUCAUCCGCGGAUGAUUAAAUGGUCUACGGGGCCAUUAUGAACCAAAGGAAGGAGUAGCCAGCUCUCCCCAGGUUCCCUCAGUCAGCACGAUUGAAUUUCUCAAAGGCGGGCAGGCAGGCAGCAGUAGCAGUGGCAGCCUCAAUGACUUUUCCUGAAAAAUGUUCUCCCGUUUAGGAUCGAGCUUUCGUUUAACUGCUUGCUGUUUCGUUUUAUUAAGUGCAAAUUGUGGCUUAAUAGAUUUACAGUUGCCAUAAACUCUGGCAUGAUGAAAGCUGUCAGAGUGGCCAGUUGCACAGCACAGGACCAGUGCGAUGUUAGAAGGAGCGAGCGGGACAAGCCAGGCAUCAGGAGAUACUGCAGAGCACUCCGAGGGGUCUGUGUGUGUCCUGAGAGGCAGAUGCCAUCCUGUGGAACUGAGCAUAGAAGCAAAAAUUACGGACCACCGCUACAGACUGAUUCCCUCAAGUGGCCAGAACAGAGAAGAACACAGGCCGAGCUUCCAGCUGCUGGGCUCCAAAUUGCGUGAAGUAGAUGGUGGUGACUGAAAAUGAGGAGAACUGCACGUUUUGGAUGCAGCCAGUGAGACACUUCUAUCAAAUCUCUGCUCGCUUACAAAAAGGAUACAAAGUCAAAGCAUACAGAAAUCAAGAGUGGAGGCAGUGAAAACAUUUGGAAAGAAUGGAUGAAAACCUUCAGUCUCAGAUGGCUAUCUUUGAUCCAAGUGGCCCAGCUUCUUCAGCAUUUGGAACUUUCCAUUGCAUAAACCAGAAGUGGAAACAGAUUCUACUUUUCUUGAGACGAGCAUACAUGAAGUAUCUCCAUUGACUUACUGGGGAAAGUCCAGAUUUAAGUCAUUUUUGACAAGAGUAGAAAUUUGGCCCAACUUGGGCAGAAUCAAACCCAUGAGCACACAGAUUUCUAAUUUUUUUUCCCCCUAGUUUCACCCUGAGCUUUACUUUGAUUUCAAAGCUCUCACUGUGUCAUUGUAAACAUUCGGUCUUUAAAAUACUGCACUGCUCCAAAGUUAUCUGCAUGUGAGUUUAUUUUACAUUAAGUACUCAAAAUAUCUGAACAUAAAAUGCCAACAGAAACAACAAAAAUAUAAACAAAUCACUGCCUUCAGCAGAAACACUUUAAUUCAGAAUGUAAUAAAGGCAGUCGAGGUUUAAAACACUUAUGCCAGAGUGUAAACUGAAGGAGUUAGUAACUUUUUUCCCCCUGUAUGCAGUUCUGCUACUGCAGCCAAAAUAUUCUCACAGGUUGUUUAAAAAGAAAAAAGGGAAAGGGAAGGGAAGGGAAAGGGAAGGGAAGGG